rnacentral:rRNA from 1 species
CCUACGGGUGGCAGCAGUGGGGAAUAUUGGACAAUGGGCGCAAGCCUGAUCCAGCAAUGCCGCGUGUGUGAAGAAGGCCUGCGGGUUGUAAAGCACUUUAAGCAGGAAAGAAGGGGUGAAAGUUAAUACCUUUCAUCAUUGACGUUACCUGCAGAAUAAGCACCGGCUAACUCCGUGCCAGCAGCCGCGGUAAUACGGAGGGUGCGAGCGGUGAUCGGAAUUACUGGGCGUGAUGCGCGCGGUGCGGCGUGAAAGCCCUGGGCUUAACCUGGGAACUGCGGUGGAUACUGUCGGGCUAGAGUGUGGUAGAGGGGAGUGGAAUUUCCGGUGUAGCAGUGAAAUGCGUAGAGAUCGGAAGGAACACCAGUGGCGAAGGCGGCUCCCUGGACUAACACUGACGCUGAGGUGCGAAAGCGUGGGGAGCAAACAGGAUUAGAUAUCCGUGUAGUC